rnacentral:sRNA from 2 species
GCUUCAUGAAGUUCAUGAGGAUGAGAAUCUCCGGGGAAGGAGGUUCGACCCGAGCGAAGCGAGGGAACGUUGCUUUAGCAACGGCCCGCAGGGUGAGUCACGAAGUGGCGAGUCAUCCUCUCUCGCCGACCA